rfam:Picea glauca, whole genome shotgun sequence.
AUCUUAAUGCAGACAUCCGAUAAAAUUGCAACGAUAUAGAGAAGAUUAGCAUGGCCUCUGCACAAUGAUGAUACACACAAAUUGAGAAAUCGCCAUGACAACG